UACGUAGGGCGCAAGCGUUGUCCGGAAUUAUUGGGCGUAAAGAGCUCGUAGGCGGCCUGUUGCGUCCGCUGUGAAAUCCCGAGGCUCAACCUCGGGUCUGCAGUCGAUACGGGCAAACUGGAGUACUGCAGGGGAGACUGGAAUUCCUGGUGUAGCGGUGAAAUGCGCAGAUAUCAGGAGGAACACCGGUGGCGAAGGCGGGUCUCUGGGCAGUAACUGACGCUGAGGAGCGAAAGCGUGGGGAGCGAACAGG
rnacentral:rRNA from 1 species